GACGAACGCUGGCGGCGUGCUUAACACAUGCAAGUCGAACGGAAAGGCCCUGCUUUUGUGGGGUGCUCGAGUGGCGAACGGGUGAGUAACACGUGAGUAACCUGCCCUUGACUUUGGGAUAACUUCAGGAAACUGGGGCUAAUACCGGAUAGGAGCUCCUGCUGCAUGGUGGGGGUUGGAAAGUUUCGGCGGUUGGGGAUGGACUCGCGGCUUAUCAGCUUGUUGGUGGGGUAGUGGCUUACCAAGGCUUUGACGGGUAGCCGGCCUGAGAGGGUGACCGGCCACACUGGGACUGAGAUACGGCACAGACUCCUACGGGAGGCAGCAGUGGGGAAUAUUGCACAAUGGGCGGAAGCCUGAUGCAGCAACGCCGCGUGCGGGAUGACGGCCUUCGGGUUGUAAACCGCUUUCGCCUGUGACGAAGCGUGAGUGACGGUAAUGGGUAAAGAAGCACCGGCUAACUACGUG
rnacentral:rRNA from 1 species